AACGAACGCUGGCGGCAUGCCUAACACAUGCAAGUCGAACGAGACCUUCGGGUCUAGUGGCGCACGGGUGCGUAACGCGUGGGAACCUUCCCUUAGGUUCGGAAUAACUCCCCGAAAGGGGUGCUAAUACCGGAUAAUGUCUUCGGACCAAAGAUUUAUCGCCUUUGGAUGGGCCCGCGUUGGAUUAGCUAGUUGGUAGGGUAAAAGCCUACCAAGGCGACGAUCCAUAGCUGGUCUGAGAGGAUGAUCAGCCACACUGGGACUGAGACACGGCCCAGACUCCUACGGGAGGCAGCGGUGGGGAAUAUUGGGCAAUGGGCGAAAGCCUAAUACAGCAAUGCCGCGUGAGUGAUGAAGGCCUUAGGGUUGUAAAGCUCUUUUACCCGGGAUGUUAAUGACAGUAACGGGAGAAUAAGCUCCGGCUAACUCCGUG
rnacentral:rRNA from 1 species